UACGUAGGGGGCGAGCGUUGUCCGGAUUCAUUGGGCGUAAAGCGCUUUAAGGCGGUUCGCUAAGUCGCGUGUGAAACCUCCAGGCUCAACCUGGAGACGCCACGCGAUACUGAUCGACUCGAAGGCAGGAGAGGGUAGUGGAAUUCCCGGUGUAGUGGUGAAAUGCGUAGAUAUCGGGAGGAACACCAGUGGCGAAGGCGACUACCUGGCCUGUUCUUGACGCUGAGGCGCGAAAGCUAGGGGAGCAAACGGG
rnacentral:rRNA from 1 species